rnacentral:rRNA from 2 species
AUUGGGACUGAGACACGGCCCAGACUCCUACGGGAGGCAGCAGUAGGGAAUCUUCCACAAUGGACGAAAGUCUGAUGGAGCAACGCCGCGUGAGUGAUGAAGGUUUUCGGAUCGUAAAACUCUGUUGUUAAAGAAGAACAAGUGUUAGAGUAACUGUUAACACUUUGACGGUAUUUAACCAGAAAGCCACGGCUAACUACGUGCCAGCAGCCGCGGUAAUACGUAGGUGGCAAGCGUUGUCCGGAUUUAUUGGGCGUAAAGCGAGCGCAGGCGGUUUUGUAAGUCUGCUGUGAAAGCCCUCAGCUCAACUGAGGAAGUGCAGUGGAAACUACAAAACUUGAGUACAGAAGAGGAAAGUGGAACUCCAUGUGUAGCGGUGAAAUGCGUAGAUAUAUGGAAGAACACCAGUGGCGAAGGCGGCUUUCUGGUCUGUUACUGACGCUGAGGCUCGAAAGCAUGGGUAGCGAACAGGAUUAGAUACCCUGGUAGUCCAUGCCGUAAACGAUGAAUACUAGGUGUUGGAGGGUUUCCGCCCUUCAGUGCCGCAGCUAACGCAUUAAGUAUUCCGCCUGGGGAGUACGACCGCAAGGUUGAAACUCAAAGGAAUUGACGGGGGCCCGCACAAGUGGUGGAGCAUGUGGUUUAAUUCGAUGCUACGCGAAGAACCUUACCAGCUCUUGACAUCUUCUGCCAACCCAAGAGAUUGGGCGUUCCCUUCGGGGACAGAAUGACAGGUGGUGCAUGGUUGUCGUCAGCUCGUGUCGUGAGAUGUUGGGUUAAGUCCCGCAACGAGCGCAACCCUUAUUAUUAGUUGCCAGCAUUUAGUUGGGCACUCUAGUGAG